rnacentral:rRNA from 1 species
UACGAAGGGGGCUAGCGUUGCUCGGAAUGACUGGGCGUAAAGGGCGCGUAGGCGGAAUGCUUUGUCGGGCGUGAAAUUCCAGGGCUCAACCUUGGGGCUGCGUUCGAGACGGGUAUUCUUGAGUUCGGGAGAGGGAUGCGGAAUUCCAGGUGUAGCGGUGAAAUGCGUAGAUAUCUGGAGGAACACCGGUGGCGAAGGCGGCAUCCUGGACCGACACUGACGCUGAGGAGCGAAAGCCAGGGGAGCAAACGGG